rnacentral:rRNA from 1 species
GAUGAACGCUAGCGACAGGCUUAACACAUGCAAGUCGAGGGGCAGCGGGGAGUAGCAAUACUCUGCCGGCGACCGGCGCACGGGUGAGUAACGCGUAUGCAACUUACCUAUCAGAGGAGAAUAGCUCAUCGAAAGAUGAAUUAAUGCUCCAUAAAACAGGGGUCCCGCAUGGGAAUAUUUGUUAAAGAUUUAUCGCUGAAAGAUGGGCUCGCGUCUGAUUAGCUAGUUGGUGGGGUAACGGCCCACCAAGGCGACGAUCAGUAGCCGGACUGAGAGGUUGAACGGCCACAUUGGGACUGAGAUACGGCCCAG